rnacentral:rRNA from 1 species
AUGGAUCGGCCAAGCUCGAUUGGGCGGCGGACAUGGCGCCAAGUAGUAGUAACAUCUAUCUAUCCGAACGAAACUUCCCGGCCUCAUAUGUACAGCCGUGCCACUUGGGCAUGUCAAUUGCCAGCACAGUACAUGCGCAUGGACGACAGCCGCGGCCGACAAGGAAGAAUUGACCGCCCAAUUUUCUCGACCGGGCAAAAGACGCAAGGUCAUAUCCCUCGAGAUAAUACCGUCCAUCGUCCUCGUCGCGCGAAGAAAUGUGACAAACCACGUCGUUCUCACCACACCAAUUCGCAUAUAUACGGGACGGGAACGGGACGGGACGGGUGUGCACCGUUGCUUUCCACCGGGCCGUCGACGUCGCCCGUUUCAAUUUGCCUGCCCGGCCGUGUGCCCGUGUAG